CAUUGCUACGGGAAUGUGGCUGCAGGCUCCCAGCAGCAGCUAGAUUCCCCUCCCUCCUGGAACCACCAGUGAACUUGUGUCUGGUCUGGAGGGAUCCUUGUAGCUUAG